GCAGUGGGGAAUCUUGUGCAAUGGACGAAAGUCUGACACAGCCACGCCGCGUGCGGGAAGAAGGCCUUCGGGUUGUAAACCGCUUUCAGCAGGAACGAAAAUGACGGUACCUGCAGAAGAAGGAGCGGCCAACUACGUGCCAGCAGCCGCGGUGACACGUAGGCUCCAAGCGUUGUCCGGAUUUAUUGGGCGUAAAGAGCUCGUAGGCGGUUCAGCAAGUCGGGUGUGAAAACUCUGGGCUCAACCCAGAGCCUGCACCCGAAACUGCUGUGACUAGAGUUCGGUAGGGGAGUGGGGAAUUCCUAGUGUAGCGGUGAAAUGCGCAGAUAUUAGGAGGAACACCGAUGGCGAAGGCACCACUCUGGGCCGAAACUGACGCUGAGGAGCGAAAGCGUGGGUAGCAAACAGGAUUAGAUACCCCGGUAGUCCGGU
rnacentral:rRNA from 1 species